rnacentral:rRNA from 1 species
UUCCCCUAGUAACUGCGAGUGAAGCGGGAAAAGCUCAAAUUUAAAAUCUGGCAGUUUAGGCUGUCCGAGUUGUAAUCUGGAGAAGUGUUUUCCGUGUUGGACCGUGCAAAAGUCUCUUGGAAUAGAGCAUCAUAGAGGGUGAGAAUCCCGUCUUUGGCAYGGACUACCAAUGCUUUGUGAUACGCUCUCAAAGAGUCGAGUUGUUUGGGAAUGCAGCUCAAAAUGGGUGGUAAAUUCCAUCUAAAGCUAAAUAUUGGCGAGAGACCGAUAGCGAACAAGUACCGUGAGGGAAAGAUGAAAAGCACUUUGGAAAGAGAGUUAAACAGUACGUGAAAUUGUUGAAAGGGAAACGCUUGAAGUCAGUCGCGUCGUCCGGGACUCAGCCUUGCUUCUGCUUGGUGUAUUUCCCGGUUGACGGGCCAACAUCGAUUUUUGCUGGUGGAAAAAGGUGGGGGGGAAUGUGGCACCUUUUGGUGUGUUAUAGCCCCUCAUUGUAUGCAUCAGCGGGGAUCGAGGACCGCAGCACGCCCUUGUGGCCGGGGUUCGCCCACGUAACGUGCUUAGGAUGUUGGCAUAAUGGCUUUAAUCGACCCGUCUUGAAACACGGACCAAGGAGUCUAACAUGCCUGCGAGUGUUAGGGUGAUAAACCCUUGCGCGUAAUGAAAGUGAAAGUUGGGAUCCUUGUCAUGGGGAGCACCGACGCCCGGCCUUGAACUUCUGUGACGGCGCCGCGGUGGAGCAUGUAUGUUGGGACCCGAAAGAUGGUGAACUAUGCCUGAAUAGGGUGAAGCCAGAGGAAACUCUGGUGGAGGCUSGUAGCGAUUCUGACGUGCAAAUCGAUCGU